rnacentral:rRNA from 1 species
UGGUGGUGUGAAUUGUCUGGUUAAUUCCGUUAACGAACGAGACCUCGACCUGCUAAAUAGUAUGGUGAAUUCACUGAAUUCGUCCAAACUUCUUAGAGGGACUAUCGGUUGGUGUACCCGGUGGAAGUUCGAGGCAAUAACA